UCCCCCACAACACUUGUCAGCUCUACAUCAGCUGAUUGAGAGUAAACACAUCUUGCCAAGGUUCACACCCUGUGCUCGUUGCAAUAUCAUGGCUAGAUGUUGUGGGUGUGUGCAUGUGAAGGGCAUCUGCAUGAGGUAAACCAUGGUGCACCUGAACCUUUCACUUCCAAAGUGCAAGUUGAGAUGUCUCGUGAAGAGAAGGAAAAGCUCCUAACGGAGAAGAUGGAGAAUAUAAGAAGGAAAAAUGAAGAACUUCGUAAGCGGCAUGAGGAAAUUGAAGCCGAUAAGAAGAAUGCUGAUAAAUUUAGCUCAACAGUAACAAUGGACAAAGUGAAACCAUAUGUCAUGAAAGCGCCCCGAGCAAGGCCUGAUAAAUCUGAAAGACCUCGAGAACCCCAGGAACAUCCCUCUAUUCCCCGUCCAUCUGAUAUCAUGCCAACUAGACAAAGGCUCUCAGAGAAUGAUGGCCCGCCACCAGACCCGUCUUAUCGCUUUUUAUCUGAUCCUGAUAGAGAUGGAAGUGACAAAGAAAGAAAGCGAGAUGGCAAAGGUAAAAGAAAAGGGAAACAGGGCUCCAAGUGGGGAUCAGCUGAUGGACAGGAAGAAGAAGGUGAAAAAGUAGAGGGAGAAGGCAACGUGGUUGCUGAUUUCAGUAAUCAAGGUGGACAAGGAAACAAAGUUAGAGGAAAAUCUGAAAAGGGGACUGGGAGAGGACGAGGAUCUCGAGGACGAGGCUUUGGAAGGUUGCCCCAUGAACAAGAAUGUGAACAAGAGGAGGAGUUGCCUAAGGGUGAUAAUUCUGAAAGCCAUGGUGGUGGAGGAGAAAGGAAUAAACCAAAGAGCAGUUUGAGCUUUGCCUCUCGAGACAUAAGAUAUUAUCCUGAUGAAAAUGAAGAUCACAGGCCUGGAAAGGAUGUAGUGCGAGGUGGUCGUGGAAGAGGACGACAGAACUACAGCCAGUGGGGCCACAAUAAUGACAACCGCAAAUCACAUAGACGUGAUAAUGAUUCACAUCCUGGCAGUGGAAGAGGAAGGAACAAUGACCAACAAAGAGAAUAUGAAAGAUGGAAGGCAGAGAGGGCAGCCAUAGAUGAAGCAAGAUUGACAAGAGGCAAAACAGAUGGUGGUUCCUGGCGCAGAGAGUGGGAUAAUGACAAAAUUAGUCAGGGAGAAUAUGAAGAUUUUGGCCCAGUUUAUGAUCCUAGAUAUCCCAGAAGUAAAAAUGAAAAUUUCAAGUUGGCCGACUUGAUUCAUCUUCCGAAUAAUGAGGGUUCUGCACAGCCUAGUCAGCCGCAGCGUAAAUCACAGAGAGAACGAAGAAAGGGAAAUAGUCAUGAAUCUCGAGAAAAGUUUGUGAAGGUAGAUACUCAUCUGGUUCAAAAGCAGCCUAAGCUUGGAAGUAAUGAUCCCAAAGAUGCUAAUUGGAGGAGUCCACCAGGCCCAUCCCAAGAAUGUGAUGAGAAGACUCCUUCAGAAGAUGAAGUUAUAGUUAUCAGUGAUGAAAGUAUAGUUACCAGUGAUGACAUUAUAGUAAUCAGUGAUGAAAUGAAAGAUACUACAGAAGAGAUUGCAGCUGAACAUGAAAACUCUACUGAAAGACAGAAAUCGGUUGAGAGUAUGGAAAGUGCUAAUGAAUGCCCAUGUGAAGAAGGCCCAAUUGAUACAUGUGAAGAAGGCCCUAUUGAUACAUGUGAAGAAGGCCCAAUUGAUACAUGUGAAGAAGGCCCAAUUGAUACAUGUGAAGAAGGCCCAAUUGAUACAUGUGAAGAAGGCCCAAUUGAUACAUGUGAAGAAGGACCAACUGAUAUGUCAUGUAAUAGUGAUCCCUCAGAAAUGAGUGACAAGACUGAAAUUCAACAAUCGAGUGAUGAUGGCCCAACUGCUAUAGAAAACAAAGUAAAUGAAGAACUGGUUCCUGUGUCACAAACUGAAACAAAUGAACUGGUUCCUGUGUCACAAACUAAAACAAAUGAACUGGUUCCUGUGUCGCAAACUGAAACAAAUGAAGAACCUAUCACCGACUCAAAUAUAGUUUGUGAUGAACCAGCUUCAACUGAAUGAAGCCCUUCUAGCCAUAAUAUGCCUUAUCAUGGAACACCAACCCCCACGCAACUCUUGGAAGAAUAGCCUUGAAGAAUAACUCUCUCUUAUCAAAGCUAGCUGCAGCUACUGUUGGAGAUAGGAGACAACCUGAUCAUAUCCAGAACAGAGAGGUUGCAAAUAGCCUUGUCAUCAUUGCAGACUAUGAAGAGCAAUCAUGUUCUUCAAAGGUGCUCAAAUUAGCUAAAUAUGUUGGCAGUCCGAAACAGGGAGACAGUACCUAUGGAGAACUUCAUCUUCAUUACAGUGUCUGCUCUCUAGGUAUCUCUGUUUUAAUGCCUGAAAUGCAAUAAGAAUUCGCUUAUAUUUUCACAAAUGGAUAGCUAUGAAUUUGACUCGGAGCAGAUCUUUGACAGUUAUCAUCAAGUGAUAUAAAUGACUGUCCAAAAUUUGUUGUUGUUUUAUUAGGUAUAUUUUGUACAACAUUUAAACUGUACUGUAAUCGUUUUGUGCUACACUUGAAAGCAGAUGAAUAUUUUUAAAGCUUUGCAUAGAAUUAUAAUAAAGUUUUAUACUUCAGCUUUAUCUGUACAGAAUUCUAAAUUUUUAGAUCUAUGGCAGUUGUCUUAAUUUACUGUAUAUGUUUAGCUGCACUAGUUUUUAGUUCACCCAAGUCUCAUACUUCCAAGUAUGAGUAACAUGGUUGAUUUUGUCGUCAUUUAUUUAUCGUUUAGCUUUUACAUCACAUUUAUAUUUAUUCAUUCCUGUAGUCGUUAUUUAUGUAUUUAUUUAUUUAUUCAUAAUGCUCAAUUGCAUAUUUUCCCUAUAGGUCUGUGUGAAUGUCCAUGAUCUCAAUUGUGGGUAUGCAAGGUGUACGCUGUUUACACUUGUGGAACCUCAUCAUAAUUAAGUAAGCAAGUGAUCAAUUGAAAUGGUGUGCCUUUGCAUGACAGUGAACACCCAGACUACCAAAUCACUCCAUAAAUGUGUAUAUAAAUGGGUGAAUGAGAUUGCAUGCUGUAUAAUACUGUACAAAAGUUAUGCUGUUAUACUUACAAAUAGAAUUUGAGGUUAUCCAA